UACAGAGGGUGCGAGCGUUAAUCGGAAUUACUGGGCGUAAAGCGUGCGUAGACGGCUAUCUAAGUCGGGUGUGAAAGCCCCGGGCUCAACCUGGGAAUUGCAUUCGAGACUGAAUAGCUAGGGUACGGUAGAGGGAAGUGGAAUUUCCGGUGCAGCGGUGAAAUGCGUAGAUAUCGGAAGGAACAUCAGUGGCGAAAGCGACUUCCUGGACCAGUACCGACGUUCAGGCACGAAAGCGUGGGGAGCAAACAGGAAUGAGAAACCCUUGGUAGUCCAAGACCGAAU
rnacentral:rRNA from 1 species